UACAAGUGUGACAUCAGCGGUCAUGGAGAGUCUCCAUCCAGCUGGAUCACUGUCACAGGGGAACACACCACCACACCUCCACCUACAUCCACACCUCCACCUGGUUCCUCUAUCAUACUUGUGUCGUCAUGUGUUGGAUCAGUCUGUGUUGUGGUUCUACUGGUGUUACUGGUUCUGCUGGUGAAACGAUGUGUUCACAGGAAACUUGAAGAGAGUGCUGUAAUCCACUCAGCAGUCACAACAGAAGAUGUCACUUAUGGACAAAUCAUCAUCAAAAAGAAGCAAAAAAGUUCAAAUAUAAGAGACUUUAAACCAGAGCCAGACGUCGUCUACUCUUCACUGAAGUAGUUCACCAGUCCAACCACUGACGUCCCCCUAGCACCUCAGACCAGAGGACAUCCAUAUGCCACAGAGAAGGAGCUUGAAGGAUAGACUGGCCGCAGAAGGAGUAUAUAUAUAUAUAUACAAUAUUUCUUUCCAAUUCCCCCAUUGACAUGUGUUUAAAAAACAUAUCCUAUUUUAAGAGGAGUUUAAAUUUUAACUUGAAAUAAACAAUGAUGAAAGACAUUAAUGCACUUAAUAUAUUAUUAUUUGUAGUGUCUGGUUUCUAUCAGCUGAAUAAAUUUUUCUUCUCAUUUGUUUUCCUUGUGUGGUUCUGUGGGUUUCACCACGUUGUUAGAUGGAAAAUGUAACUUCUUUCGGUUUGGUUGUGGCUAACCGAUACACGCCUCAUUUCACUGCAGAAAACAAAGAAUAGGCAUUAAACCA